UGGCCAUGAUGCAUUGAAUUUCUGAAAGUAAGUUGUUUAUGUAAAUUAGAAAUGAUAGCUUCUAAACCCUGAGCCAA